rnacentral:snRNA from 1 species
GUAUAGAAACGUUCUCCAGUA